rnacentral:rRNA from 1 species
CGCCCUUGAGUUUGAUCAUGGCUCAGAACGAACGCUGGCGGCAGGCCUAACACAUGCAAGUCGAACGCCCUAGCAAUAGGGAGUGGCAGACGGGUGAGUAACACGUGGGAACCUUCCCAAUAGUACGGAAUAGCCCAGGGAAACUUGGAGUAAUACCGUAUACGCCCGAGAGGGGAAAGAUUUAUCGCUAUUGGAUGGGCCCGCGUUGGAUUAGCUAGUUGGUGAGGUAAUGGCUCACCAAGGCGACGAUCCAUAGCUGGUCUGAGAGGACGACCAGCCACACUGGGACUGAGACACGGCCCAGACUCCUACGGGAGGCAGCAGUGGGGAAUAUUGGACAAUGGGCGCAAGCCUGAUCCAGCCAUGGCCGCGUGAGUGAUGAAGGCCUUAGGGUUGUUUUUUUCUUUUGCCGGGGACGAUAAUGACGGUACCCGGAGAAUAAGUCCCGGCUAACUUCGUGCCAGCAGCCGCGGUAA